GAUGAACGCUGGCGGCGUGCCUAAUACAUGCAAGUCGAGCGAACAGACGAGGAGCUUGCUCCUCUGACGUUAGCGGCGGACGGGUGAGUAACACGUGGAUAACCUACCUAUAAGACUGGGAUAACUUCGGGAAACCGGAGCUAAUACCGGAUAAUAUAUUGAACCGCAUGGUUCAAUAGUGAAAGACGGUUUUGCUGUCACUUAUAGAUGGAUCCGCGCCGCAUUAGCUAGUUGGUAAGGUAAAGGCUUACCAAGGCAACGAUGCGUAGCCGACCUGAGAGGGUGAUCGGCCACACUGGAACUGAGCCACGGUCCAGACUCCUACGGGAGGCAGCAGUAGGGAAUCUUCCGCAAUGGGCGAAAGCCUGACGGAGCAACGCCGCGUGAGUGAUGAAGGUCUUCGGAUCGGAAAACUCUGUUAUUAGGGAAGAACAAAUGUGUAAGUAACUAUGCACGUCUUGACGGUACCUAAUCAGAAAGCCACGGCUAACUACGUG
rnacentral:rRNA from 1 species